UUGACCUCGGAUCAGGUAGGACUACCCGCUGAACUUAAGCAUAUCAAUAAGCGGAGGAAAAGAAACCAACAGGGAUUGCCCCAGUAACGGCGAGUGAAGCGGCAACAGCUCAGAUUUGGAAUCUGGCCCCUAGGGCCCGAGUUGUAAUCUGGAGAGGAUGCUUCUGGCGCGGCGCCUUCCGAGUUCCCUGGAACGGGACGCCGGAGAGGGUGAGAGCCCCGUACGGUUGGACGCCUAGCCUUUGUGAAGCUCCUUCGACGAGUCGAGUAGUUUGGGAAUGCUGCUCAAAAUGGGAGGUAAAUUUCUUCUAAAGCUAAAUACCGGCCAGAGACCGAUAGCGCACAAGUAGAGUGAUCGAAAGAUGAAAAGCACUUUGAAAAGAGGGUCAAACAGUACGUGAAAUUGUUGAAAGGGAAGCGCCCGUGGCCAGACUUGUGCCCCGCGGACCACCCGGCGCCCUCAGCGCCGGUGCACUCCGCGGGGCGCAGGCCAGCAUCGGUUUUCCUAGGGGGAUAAAGGCGGCGGGAACGUGGCUCCCUCGGGAGUGUUAUAGCCCGCCGCGCCAUGCCCCUGGGGGGACCGAGGACCGCGCUUCGGCAAGGAUG
rnacentral:rRNA from 1 species